AGAGUUUGAUCAUGGCUCAGGAUGAACGCUAGCUACAGGCUUAACACAUGCAAGUCGAGGGGCAGCAUGGUCUUAGCUUGCUAAGGCCGAUGGCGACCGGCGCACGGGUGAGUAACACGUAUCCAACCUGCCGUCUACUCUUGGACAGCCUUCUGAAAGGAAGAUUAAUACAAGAUGGCAUCAUGAGUCCGCAUGUUCACAUGAUUAAAGGUAUUCCGGUAGACGAUGGGGAUGCGUUCCAUUAGAUAGUAGGCGGGGUAACGGCCCACCUAGUCUUCGAUGGAUAGGGGUUCUGAGAGGAAGGUCCCCCACAUUGGAACUGAGACACGGUCCAAACUCCUACGGGAGGCGGCAGUGAGGAAUAUUGGUCAAUGGGCGAGAGCCUGAACCAGCCAAGUAGCGUGAAGGAUGACUGCCCUAUGGGUUGUAAACUUCUUUUAUAAAGGAAUAAAGUCGGGUAUGCAUACCCGUUUGCAUGUACUUUAUGAAUAAGGAUCGGCUAACUCCGUGCCAGCAGCCGCGGUAAUACGGAGGAUCCGAGCGUUAUCCGGAUUUAUUGGGUUUAAAGGGAGCGUAGAUGGAUGUUUAAGUCAGUUGUGAAAGUUUGCGGCUCAACCGUAAAAUUGCAGUUGAUACUGGAUAUCUUGAGUGCAGUUGAGGCAGGCGGAAUUCGUGGUGUAGCGGUGAUAUGCUUAGAUAUCACGAAGAACUCCGAUUGCGAAGGCAGCCUGCUAAGCUGCAACUGACAUUGAGGCUCGAAAGUGUGGGUAUCAAACAGGAUUAGAUACCCUGGUAGUCCACACGAUAAACGAUGAAUACUCGCUGUUUGCGAUAUACAGCAAGCGGCCAAGCGAAAGCGUUAAGUAUUCCACCUGGGGAGUACGCCGGCAACGGUGAAACUCAAAGGAAUUGACGGGGGCCCGCACAAGCGGAGGAACAUGUGGUUUAAUUCGAUGAUACGCGAGGAACCUUACCCGGGCUUAAAUUGCAGAUGAAUUACGGUGAAAGCCGUAAGCCGCAAGGCAUCUGUGAAGGUGCUGCAUGGUUGUCGUCAGCUCGUGCCGUGAGGUGUCGGCUUAAGUGCCAUAACGAGCGCAACCCUUGUUGUCAGUUACUAACAGGUCAUGCUGAGGACUCUGACAAGACUGCCAUCGUAAGAUGUGAGGAAGGUGGGGAUGACGUCAAAUCAGCACGGCCCUUACGUCCGGGGCUACACACGUGUUACAAUGGGGGGUACAGAGGGCCGCUACCACGCGAGUGGAUGCCAAUCCCAAAAACCUCUCUCAGUUCGGACUGGAGUCUGCAACCCGACUCCACGAAGCUGGAUUCGCUAGUAAUCGCGCAUCAGCCACGGCGCGGUGAAUACGUUCCCGGGCCUUGUACACACCGCCCGUCAAGCCAUGGGAGCCGGGGGUACCUGAAGUGCGUAACCGCGAGGAGCGCCCUAGGGUAAAACUGGUGACUGGGGCUAAGUCGUAACAAGGUA
rnacentral:rRNA from 1 species